AGCACAAAACAAUUCCAAAGUUCAAGAUUUAUUUCUGCCUUCUGGAGACAUGGUCUCUGUCACUGGAAAAGAAAAAAAAGUCAGGGCCUUCUGUGCUUGUAGGAUUUGGAUGUAGAGGUGGUGGGAAUGUCUCUGGAUUUGGGACAGCACCUCUGAUGUCUGUGAAUCGGACGGACUCACUGGUGUGUCCUCCACAUGUUCUUGAGGAAGUUAACAAGGCUAAACAAGGAACUCACUGUCCUGCCUGCUCAGAAGACUCAGCACAAGAGAACACACAGCAAGACUCAAAGUUUUGGAACUGGAAGGAAGUGGAAACCUGGCUCCUUCUGGCUCUCAGAUCUUAUGACUCAACAAAGAAUUUAAAAAGAAUAUUCUCCCUAUUGAAAGGCCUCAAUUUUCCCAUCUCUAUGGACAGGCGGUAAAAUGAGAUAGUUUACAUGAAAUGCUGUCUGGUCCUCAGCAGGAGCUCAGUAAGCAUUGGUCUUCUUCCCUCUUGCAGAUCCACUCCCCAGAGUCUGUCUUUCCGGAGUUUCUCUGCUCCAAUUCAUUUCAUGUCCUAUUGCCGGAUGACUUCUCCUAAAGCCAACCUCAUUCUCUCUCCUCUGUGCUCAAGCCUUGUGGCUUCCCACUGUCUGUCAGAGUGAAGUGCACACCAAAGGCCUAGGUUUUAGGCCCUUCCUGUGUGACCCUCCUCACCAGCACAAUCUCCUUUCUCUUUUCCCUCCUUCACACACUCAGUGCUAUGGCCAACUGGGCAGCUGGCUCGCCCUUCUCCAUGCCCUGCUUCAUGCCCUGCUUGUCCCCAGCCUUUGCUGAUGCUGGAGAGAAGGCACUUCCUCUCCAGCCUUGCAACCUUCUAGCUCAGCAUGACCCUUAGCCCUCAGAAAGAUACGCUUAUCUUCUAAUGACAUGGAAAUGAUCAAUUGAGCUUGAUUUGUAGCAAAUAAUAGAAUAAAUAAUAACGCACACAUAUAAUUGACCCAACUUUUGGAACUCUGCAGGGAUCAUUUAAUUUCUCGAAAUUAGAUAAUGUUUAUGUGAAGCAGAUGCUACUACUAAAUACAUAAAUACACAUUUAUAAUAACUUAGUGUAUUUGUGGGUAUGUGAGUAUAGAUAGGGAAAGAGAUGCUCAGAGAAGAUGGAGAUAGAUAUAAGCUAGACAAUAGCUUUCUAUAUAAACAUUUACAUCUUUCUAUCUAGCAAAUUAGUUUGAGAAGGAAAAGUCAUUUGCAGAUACUCUGUAGUGAAGUAUUAAUUUCCAAAUGUUAUAGGCUGACCAACUAUAUCCUUUUAUGUAAGAAGCAUAUUGCAGACAUUAAAUACCCUAUUGUGAAGACUGAAAACGACCUAAACUAUUCCAACAAUUGGGAUAUGGUUAUAGAAAUUAUGGUAUACUCACAUUAUGAGCUAUUAUACAGCCAUAAAAAUUAUG
rnacentral:lncRNA from 1 species